rnacentral:tRNA from 1 species
GCCGGGGUUGCCGAGUGGUAAGGCGACGGCCUGCUAAGCCGUUGGGCGUAAUGCCCGCGUGGGUUCGAAUCCCACCCCCGGCG